rnacentral:lncRNA from 1 species
GGAAGAGAAUACCAAAUUCUAAAUUAGAGAAUUGUAAUGUAAAGUGUGUUCGAUCACUAAGGAAGAUCCCCUAUUUAUCAUAAUUACAAGAGAUCAGGCUAAGCCUAUCCAAACAAAUCUAGAAAAAGCAGAAAUAGGAACAAAUCUGUCAUCCACGACCAUGGGUGUGGAACAUGACCUGGCCGUGGAUCGUGGCUUCCAAAGGGUGGUUUUCAGCAUUAUGAACGAAACAUGGUCGUGGGUAGUGGACAUGGCAUGGGACAUGGCCCAUGGGUGGUGGACACAGCCUGAGCUCAAAAUCAGCGAUGCUUGGCCGUGAGUGGUGGAACACGGUUCGUGGAUAGAGGAACAUGACCAUGGGUCCAAACAUGGCCUGAGUGUAUUUGGCACCUUUACUUCAAGUUAAUUCUAUUCGAUCCAGGCACCAAGGCGACUUCUUCUAACCCUUCAUUUGGUCUUCUCGUUGAAUCAACAUCGACUUCCAUCUUUAUUUCACCCAAUCUCCACUAUUUUUCGGCUUCAAUCCAUCCAACCUGCACAACACAACCAGAAACACCCGCUCAACCAGAACAAAGAGAAAUAAAUUCUAAAAACAAUCCUAAAGUCCUAAUUAUGUCCUAAAAUACAAGUUAAAUGCAAUUCAAAUGUAGCAUAAUUUCACACUCAUAAAAAGCAAUGAUAUUAUAUGAUAAUAACAACCAAAAGUAAGGAAAGGUUUCAUAUGGUUUACUCGUCUUAAUGGAUAAAGUAAUCAAGGAUAAUCAAUUAAGUAGUUUAAAAAAGAAUUAAACAAGUUCACAAUUGCUGCAUUUAAUCGAUUAUUAGCAGAGGUUAAUAGAUUAAAUCAAAUAUAAACAAAUUAUGGCAGAAGCACAUUGCAAGAUAUAUCCAUAUUUGUGCAAUUAUACAAGUUAGCAAACAAUGAUUAAUGGUAUAGAAUGUAUCGCAAAUAUAGCAUAUAUUAACCAUUCAAAUAGAAAGUACACAAGUUCGAUAUAAUCAAAGAUCAAGCAAUAGUUCUUACAUAACCAAAUUAAACAACCAAAUUACGAGAAAUUAACAAAGAGAGUGCAUGAAGUACAUAAUAAGAUCAAACAUAUUACUACCAAACCAACAAAAUACUUCCUCAAAAGACACAUACACCCUAGACUCUAGACAACCCUAUUUAGGUUAAUCCUAACAUGGUGGUGGUGGUGAUGAAUAUCCAUGUGUGGCAUGCACAAUGAAGAGAAUGCGAUCAAGAUCCAUGGUGAACCUCUUCUAUUGCUGCUGGAACUCAACCGACAUUGAGUCUCUUAAAGAUUGGAAAUGGCCAUCAAUACGUGCCUUUAGGUGUUGUUCCAUGGCAUCCAAGUGUGCUAGCCUAAAUGAUGGUUCCUGAGGCUUACUAGUAGCCUCAGCUUGUGGUUGUUCAGGGUUUGGCUCACUAGGAUUUUCUGAAAAUUCUUCAUCAGAUGAGUCUUCAUUUACAUUGGCAUUGUGAUCCUCUUGAUACAUCCAUGCAUUACCAAACUUGUCAAUUUCUUCAUGCACUAGUGGAGCGUGAGACAGGAAAAAGUUGAAGUGUAUAAAAGUAGACAAUGGUGACGAUUACCAUGGUCCAUUUGAAGCUUAUUUCAAGGCUUAUGGUAUCAUACUGGAGAAGACACUACCAAAGUCUCAUAAACUAAAUGCAGUAGCUGAGAGGACGGACCACACAAUUGAAGAGAAGAUUAGAUGCAUGUGGCAAGAUGUCAACCUCCCCAAGUCUUUCUGGGCUGAAGCAGUGAAGACUACAAUAGAUCUCAUAAAUCGAACACCUUCUAGACCUCUCAAAAGAGAGAUUCUAGAGGAAGUGUGGUACAAGAAGAAGCCAUCCUUCAAAAACCUAAGAGUAUUCAGAUGCAGAGCCUUCGUUCACAUUCCAAAAGGUGAGAUAAAUAAGUUUGAUGUUAAGACCAAUGAGUGCAUUUACCUUGGAUCCCUAAAGGAUAAAUUUGGGUAUAGAUUGUGGAAUUUGAUAAAAAGAAAGUUGUGUGAAGUAGAAAUGAUAUGUUCUUCGAGGAAAAAAUGAUCAAAGAUGUUCAGAAGAAAAAUUAGUGUAAGUCCAAAGUUCACAUUGAUUCAGGGGAGAGAUUCCUCAACAGACAAAUCUUGAUCACUAAAUAGAUCCAAAACAGAUAGACCAACAGGUAGAUCCUACUCACGCACAUCAGGCAGAAAUUGACCAAAUUAAUGAAUAGUUAGAUCAUGAUGAAAUUGUGGCAGACACACAAAUGCAUCAAGAACCUGAGUCAAUAGAGCUUCAGAUGCCUAUUGAACUAAGACACUCCGGAAGAGGCAGAAUAUCUUGUGUAAAGUAUCCUGAUUAUAUAUCAAAUUGACAAAGAAUGUUGAACCUAAAUACUUCUCAGAAGCUAUGUAGACAACUUAAAAAAGAAGACUGGGUUGAAGCCAUGGAAGAUGAGAUGAACUCUUUAAAUGAAAACCAGACAUAUGAACUAGUGGAGUUUCCCAAAGGUAAAAAAAAGCCUUGAAAAAAAUGGGUGUAUAGGCUUAAAGAUGAAGAAAGAAGCUCGAGACUAGGGUACAAAGCUCCUAUUGUUGUGAAAGGAUGCAAUCAGGAAAAAUGAGUUAAUUUUAAUGACAUAUUCUCACCAGUGGUAAAGUAUUCCCCCAUAAGAGUAGUCUUGGGCCUAGUUGCUAGCCUAAACUUAGAAUUUGAACAACUUGAUGUCAAAACAACUUUCCUACAUGAAUAUAUCAAAUAAGAAACUUAUAAGGAGUAACCAGAAGGUUAUGAAGAACUAGGCAAUGAACAUUUAGUGUGUCAUCUAAAUAAGAGUUUGUAUGGUGUGAAGUAAGCACACAAUUAUUGGUACAAGAAGUUUGAAUCAUUCAUGAAUAAUCACAUUUUUAAGAAGACAACUAGCGAUCUAUUGAUUACAUUUAAUGAUGGUCAUUUCAAAGUCUUGGAAUUACUCUUUGACUCGUAAAAGUUAUGAAGUCUGUCUUAGAAAGUUUGAGUCGAAUUUUCAAGGUAUCUUGAAAGUAUGACAACAAUUAAUCCUCCACUAUAUCUAUAUGAUGAAGUCUUCCUCCACUUACUAUAUAAAGGGAAUUUGUGAGGAAGAGAUGAACAAGCAAAUGAGAAUGAGCAACAAAGAGAGAAAGUGAAAGAGUUUAUAUUCACCUUAGCGUGAGACUUGUAUUCCUAUUGAGAUACUAGAGAAAGUUUGUAUUCUGUCCAUUUUGGGUGAGAUUGAGUGUUAUCCUCUUAGUGAAAGAGAGUCAAAUAUUGUAAUCCUACUUUCUAUAAUACAGACAUUUUCUGGACUAGGUCCUGUGAUUAUUUCCUUCUGACUUUGAUGAGGUUUUUCCACGUUAAAAUUAUUGGUGUCAUUCUUCAACUUUUCUCUAUUUCCUUUAUCCACUUGUCGCUUCUGCAAGUGUCUACUUUACAUCACACAGAGGAGAGAAAUUACUUCUGAAUUUCCCAACACAUAAGAAUGUUAAUUCUUCGAAAACCUUAGUUAAUUUAUAAUUAAUAGUUGCAAUAUAAGAUAACAUUUAAAUGAUUUUACUUUCCAAACUGGCUAUUUUUCAAAACUUGAUUAAAAUCUUCUCUAAAAAAACUUCUCAGCCAUGUUUCAAAAUAUGAGGAAUAUAACUCAUUUUCAAAGAGGGCUCAUAAUUUUCUUAAAUACAUUUAACAUAGUUUUCAAGAAUAGUUUGAAAUGCUAGAUUAGAAAUCCUUUAUAAGAAUUUUUUAACUGAAAUCACAAGUGUGUUCCCCUAUUAAUAAUUACACUAACUUCAACAUUUAUAUAUAUAUAUAUAUAUAUAUGUUAAACAUAAUUGACAAGAUCGAGAUCUUACAUAAGAUCCAGAUGAGUAGAAGAAAAUCUGAAACAUAUAAUCGUAACACAUAUCAUAAAAUCUUAUCAAAUAUUAAAUUUUUGAAGACAUACAUAUAUACAAAAUAAUAAAAACAUGUUUAAGAACUGAAUUUCUCAAUUGCUAUAAAUAACAAAAUUAACAAGUAACACCUAAUACUAAAAGUAUACAUACUAAACUAUUAGGUCAACACAGUCAACUAAAAUGUUUGAUAGUAAAAUGUACCAUCAACUAGAACCUAAUAUCUAAAUUGAUAAAGAAAAUCACGCAAGGGGAUAUCAAAUUGGGCUCUUCAUCUUCAUUAAUCUCAUCAAGUGGCUCCUCAGCAUGUGUUUCAUCUCCUUUAAUUUCAUCAUCAAAAUCAAAUUGUGGAACCUCCAACUCUUCACUCUUCACAGACACGACAAGUUGUAGAACCAUCUCACCCUUCACUUAAGGUUUCUUCUAAUGGAUUAUCCACAUUUUCAUUGUCUCUUUCUAGAAUCUCAUCAUUUUCAUUAUUUUUCAUAAUCCACUCAUCAUCAGAAAUGUCAUUAAGCUUAAAAUAAAUUUCAGAUUUUCCUUAUUUACUUGAUGCUUUCCAAUUUUGAAUUAAGCAUCACGAAGACAUUAUCAUUCAUUAUCUUUUAUUUCAAAUGAUUCAUUCUUCUUGUGUGGACCUAAAACUAAAUAUAAAACAAAUUUACUUAUAGCAAUAAGUUAUUUACAAAGGAUAUGAUAAUUCAUUUUAAAUUUUUACCAUCUCAAAAGCUCUCCAAUUGUGUUCUUAUUCAAAUCAAUUGCAUGUCAAGCUUAGUACACGAAUUGCAAAGUUUUACAGCUCUGUAUAUUCCUCACCAUAUGUCUUCCACCAUAGUAUUGGAGUUUGGGUUUCAAAUCCAGCUGUGACUACUAUACUACUAUAAAAAAACGUUUUCCAACCCUUAAAGCCUAUAAUUUGAUAAUCAACCUUCUUAAUUAUAUCAAUAUCACCUCACCGUUCUUAUCAAACAGACAUACAUCCCUUACUUAAGUUCACAAACGACCUUAAAUCCAAGAUAAUAGUGCAACAUAGGAUUAAUAUAAUAGCAUACUACUGUUAUCGUAGCUUGCAACAAUUCUAAAUGGUACGAAAUAAUACUUACUGGCUGAGUCACGACCAGGUUGCUCUCUUUAAGACGUUUCGUGGCACAUCCCAAAAUGUGCAAGCAGACUAUCAACCACGCCGUCCCUAGGAUAAAACAACCCAGAUCUUUGUUAUCGAAUUCUUACUGCACUGUAAGACCCGAUCUCGAAUACACCCACCACAAUAUGGCUACCAGUACCAAUUCUCGAAAUUACCCACAAUAUGGCUACCUGUGCCAAUUCU